rnacentral:rRNA from 1 species
AUUGAACGCUGGCGGAAUGCUUUACACAUGCAAGUCGAACGGCAGCACGGGGGCAACCCUGGUGGCGAGUGGCGAACGGGUGAGUAAUACAUCGGAACGUGCCCAGUCGUGGGGGAUAACGUAGCUAAAGUUACGCUAAUACCGCAUACGAUCUACGGAUGAAAGCGGGGGACCGUAAGGCCUCGCGCGACUGGGGCGGCCGAUGUCAGAUUAGGUAGUUGGUGAGGUAAAGGCUCACCAAGCCGACGAUCUGUAGCUGGUCUGAGAGGACGACCAGCCACACUGGGACUGAGACACGGCCCAGACUCCUACGGGAGGCAGCAGUGGGGAAUUUUGGACAAUGGGCGCAAGCCUGAUCCAGCCAUUCCGCGUGCAGGACGAAGGCCUUCGGGUUGUAAACUGCUUUUGUACGGAACGAAAAGGCUCUGGUUAAUACCUGGGGCUCAUGACGGUACCGUAAGAAUAAGCACCGGCUAACUACGUGCCAGCAGCCGCAGUAA